rnacentral:rRNA from 1 species
UACGAAGGGGGGCUAGCGUUGUUCGGAUUUACUGGGCGUAAAGCGCACGUAGGCGGAUCUUUAAGUCAGAGGUGAAAUCCCAAGGCUCAACCUUGGAACUGCCUUUGAUACUGGGGAUCUUGAGUCCGGGAGAGGUGAGUGGAACUGCGAGUGUAGAGGUGAAAUUCGUAGAUAUUCGCAAGAACACCAGUGGCGAAGGCGGCUCACUGGCCCGGUAC